rnacentral:lncRNA from 1 species
AAAGAAGAUUUCCUUGUAUAAGAUGCUGUAGAACCACAUGGACAUAAUCACAUAAUCAUGGUCCUUAAAGAAUUUUAAAUGUUUUUUUUCUUUAUCUGAUGGCUCCAUUGCAGACAGACUUGGCUGUGUCCACACCAGAGCAUGAGACCGUCACUGUUUUUUGGUUAUGUCAGUGAACUAUCUUCACUCCCUCCCACCAAGAAGCAUAGGAAUGUAUUCACCACCAGAUUAAAACCAGCAUCAAUUUGACUCUCUGCUCUACUGCACUCUAAGUUCUGUGAAUAUUAAUAGAAAUUUAUUUGUUGGAUGGUUGACUGCUUAAAUUCAUCUGCCGUUCCUCGGUUGGAGUCAUUCAGGCCAUUAAUGUUGAGCACGCGCCCACUCAAGUAGGGGCCAAGUGUAGGUCACAG